rnacentral:misc_RNA from 1 species
CAAAAGUAUUUUCAAAGAAUGAUGGUUGUUAUUUUACCAUCAUGCACUAAUAACCUAUCCUAACCUAAAUUUGUUUUAAUUCAUGUGUAAGCUGGGAGAAUUUUUUAGUUUUGACUGAUGAGGCAGUGAAACACAAACAAUAAUUGCUUUAUUUCUGAAAAUUUUAUUAUUUUACUGUGAUUUUGUCUAAUGUGAAGUAAAAUCUAAUAUAUACACUUUUAAAUUGCAGAACUGUUAUAAGUCAACUGAUUACAGGAUAUCUGCCUAGUCUAGUUCUUCAAUUGUUC